GUAGGUGAACCUGCGGAAGGAUCAUUAACACGUAUCCAACGUAUCCAACCCCGUGGUCCUGUGCGCGGCGAUAUAUGUGAGUAAAGUAACAAUCCGGCACCGUUCAACCUACGCGGUUGAAGGUGUACCAAAUAUCCAAAGUCAUCUCAGAAGAAGUACUUGAAAGUUGCGGUAGGGGCUAGUCCACGAGACCGACCUACCGAUAUGUGCCUGAAACCAGGGACCGCCUGCGGUAUCUGUGCUGGUCCACGAGACUGACAUACCGUUGAGCGUUGAAGUGGUGGUGGUAGCUAGCUGGAAUGAUGGCUUUGGGUAGACUGGGAGUACUAAGUCUUCUACGAGAAGGCAGCUUCAUAUAGACGACGUUUUAACCAAACCCUUAACUUAAUUGACUAAUACUGAAGUAAGUAUGGCGCGCCCUGCUUUAUUUCGACAUACGAAACCGUAACAACUCUUAACAACGGAUAUCUUGGUUCUC
rnacentral:misc_RNA from 1 species